rnacentral:rRNA from 1 species
UUCGGAAUCGAUAACCGCUGAAAGCAUCUAAGCGGGAAGCGAGCCCUGAGAUGAGUCAUCCCUGACCCCUUGAGGGUCCUAAAGGGCCGUUGGAGACCACAACGUUGAUAGGUGGGGUGUGUAAGCGUAGCGAUACGUUGAGCUAACCCAUACUAAUUACCCGUGAGGCUUAACCAU